rnacentral:rRNA from 1 species
CUGGAAAGAUGAAUCAAAGAAGGUAAUAAUCCUGUAGUCGAAAAUGUUGUCUCUCUUGAGUGGAUCCUGAGUACGACGGAGCACGUGAAAUUCCGUCGGAAUCUGGGAGGACCAUCUCCUAAGGCUAAAUACUCUCUAGUGACCGAUAGUGAACCAGUACCGUGAGGGAAAGGUGAAAAGCACCCCGGAAGGGGAGUGAAAUAGAACCUGAAACCGUGUGCUUACAAGUAGUCAGAGCCCGUUAAUGGGUGAUGGCGUGCCUUUUGUAGAAUGAACCGGCGAGUUACGAUUUGAUGCAAGGUUAAGCAGUAAAUGUGGAGCCGUAGCGAAAGCGAGUCUGAAUAGGGCGUUUAGUAUUUGGUCGUAGACCCGAAACCAGGUGAUCUACCCUUGGUCAGGUUGAAGUUCAGGUAACACUGAAUGGAGGACCGAACCGACUUACGUUGAAAAGUGAGCGGAUGAACUGAGGGUAGCGGAGAAAUUCCAAUCGAACCUGGAGAUAGCUGGUUCUCUCCGAAAUAGCUUUAGGGCUAGCCUCAAGUGAUGAUUAUUGGAGGUAGAGCACUGUUUGGACGAGGGGCCCCUCUCGGGUUACCGAAUUCAGACAAACUCCGAAUGCCAAUUAAUUUAACUUGGGAGUCAGAACAUGGGUGAUAAGGUCCGUGUUCGAAAGGGAAACAGCCCAGACCACCAGCUAAGGUCCCAAAAUAUAUGUUAAGUGGAAAAGGAUGUGGCGUUGCCCAGACAACUAGGAUGUUGGCUUAGAAGCAGCCAUCAUUUAAAGAGUGCGUAAUAGCUCACUAGUCGAGUGACACUGCGCCGAAAAUGUACCGGGGCUAAACAUAUUACCGAAGCUGUGGAUUGUCCUUUGGACAAUGGUAGGAGAGCGUUCUAAGGGCGUUGAAGCAUGAUCGUAAGGACAUGUGGAGCGCUUAGAAGUGAGAAUGCCGGUGUGAGUAGCGAAAGACGGGUGAGAAUCCCGUCCACCGAUUGACUAAGGUUUCCAGAGGAAGGCUCGUCCGCUCUGGGUUAGUCGGGUCCUAAGCUGAGGCCGACAGGCGUAGGCGAUGGAUAACAGGUUGAUAUUCCUGUACCACCUAUAAUCGUUUUAAUCGAUGGGGGGACGCAGUAGGAUAGGCGAAGCGUGCGAUUGGAUUGCACGUCUAAGCAGUAAGGCUGAGUAUUAGGCAAAUCCGGUACUCGUUAAGGCUGAGCUGUGAUGGGGAGAAGACAUUGUGUCUUCGAGUCGUUGAUUUCACACUGCCGAGAAAAGCCUCUAGAUAGAAAAUAGGUGCCCGUACCGCAAACCGACACAGGUAGUCAAGAUGAGAAUUCUAAGGUGAGCGAGCGAACUCUCGUUAAGGAACUCGGCAAAAUGACCCCGUAACUUCGGGAGAAGGGGUGCUCUUUAGGGUUAACGCCCAGAAGAGCCGCAGUGAAUAGGCCCAAGCGACUGUUUAUCAAAAACACAGGUCUCUGCUAAACCGUAAGGUGAUGUAUAGGGGCUGACGCCUGCCCGGUGCUGGAAGGUUAAGAGGAGUGGUUAGCUUCUGCGAAGCUACGAAUCGAAGCCCCAGUAAACGGCGGCCGUAACUAUAACGGUCCUAAGGUAGCGAAAUUCCUUGUCGGGUAAGUUCCGACCCGCACGAAAGGCGUAACGAUUUGGGCACUGUCUCAACGAGAGACUCGGUGAAAUCAUAGUACCUGUGAAGAUGCAGGUUACCCGCGACAGGACGGAAAGACCCCGUGGAGCUUUACUGUAGCCUGAUAUUGAAAUUCGGCACAGCUUGUACAGGAUAGGUAGGAGCCUUUGAAACGUGAGCGCUAGCUUACGUGGAGGCGCUGGUGGG